rnacentral:rRNA from 1 species
ACGCGAAAGGGGGCAACCCCCGGUAGCGUGGCAGACGGGUGAGUAACACGUGGGUAACCUACCCGGAGGUGGGGGAUAACCCUUCGAAAGGAGGGCUAAUACCGCAUGACACCGUGGGGACUUCGGUCCCUGCGAUCAAAGCUGGCCUCUGUUUACAAGCUAGCGCCACCGGAUGGGCCCGCGCCCCAUUAGCUAGUUGGUGAGGUAACGGCUCACCAAGGCGACGAUGGGUAGCCGGCCUGAGAGGGCGAUCGGCCACACUGGAACUGCGACACGGUCCAGACUCCUACGGGAGGCAGCAGUGAGGAAUAUUGCGCAAUGGGCGAAAGCCUGACGCAGCGACGCCGCGUGGAGGAUGAAGGUCUUCGGAUUGUAAACUCCUGUCGAGUGGGACGAAUGCCGUGAGGGUGAAUACCCCUCGCGGUUGACGGUACCGCUGGAGGAAGCCCCGGCUAACUCCGUGCCAGCAGCCGCGGUAAUACGGAGGGGGCAAGCGUUGUUCGGAAUCAUUGGGCGUAAAGGGCGUGUAGGCGGUCGAUCAAGUCGGAGGUGAAAUCCCUCGGCUCAACUGAGGAAUUGCCUUCGAUACUGUUCGGCUUGAGUCCUGGAGAGGGUAGCGGAAUUCCCGGUGUAGCGGUGAAAUGCGUAGAGACCGGGAAGAACACCAGUGGCGAAGGCGGCUACCUGGACAGGUACUGACGCUAACAGCGCGAAAGCUAGGGGAGCAAACAGGAUUAGAUACCCUGGUAGUCCUAGCUGUAAACGAUGGGCACUUGGUGUUGCGGGUAUCGACCCCUGCAG